rnacentral:rRNA from 1 species
UACGGAGGGUGCAAGCGUUGUCCGGAAUCACUGGGCGUAAAGGGCGCGUAGGCGGCUCAUGAAGGCUGUGGUGAAAGUCCGGGGCUCAACCUCGGAUCGGCCGUGGCGACUCGUGGGCUGGAGCACUGUAGAGGCGGGUGGAAUUCCGGGUGUAGCGGUGGAAUGCGUAGAGAUCCGGAAGAACACCGGUGGCGAAGGCGGCCCGCUGGGCAGUGGCUGACGCUGAGGCGCGACAGCGUGGGGAGCAAACAGG